UGGCGCUCAAAUGUGUCCAGUCAUUUCAGCAAUGAAAUAGUGUCCAGUGUUUAAAAGUUAUCCAUAAGUAAGAAGUUGCAUAUCUUCUUUAUCGGUACUAACACAACUAAUGAUUUUGUGUUUAAUAAAUUUAAACAGUUAUGAACAUGUAGACAUGCAAUUGCUGUCCUACAUGUCCAUACUUAUAUUUUGACAUUGUACAAGGUCAUGCUUUGCUCCGACAGUUGUUGUCCCCAACUAAAUCGUUCAAUAUAUACUAUUUGAUAUUUAAGUCUGAGAUGAACCUGAUUUAACUGUUAGAUGUAAUUGACGUUAAAAUAGAUAGACCAGUAACUGCGAGUACUCUCAGAUCUAUAACUUGUGUCGUUUACAUUUUUAAUUUUUAAUUUUACUAGUUGUUUUUGUGUUUUGUGUAGAUUAAAUGAGUCGAGCACUUUCCAGCUGUUUUUUACAGUUUAUUUUUAGUUUUGAUGUUACACUACAGUUUCAAGUUAUGGUGGAUUGAGAGCUCACAAACUUAACUAAACCCGCCAAUAUAUACAUGUACUUGUUUAAAUCAAGGAGCCUUAUUCGACAGUGGUCGUUAGUUUCAAUAAAAAUUUAUCCUAACUGACCAAACCCUGUUGUUUAUGAAAGGUUAAACUACUAUUUCGGAAUGGCAAGAAACACAC
rnacentral:lncRNA from 1 species